rnacentral:lncRNA from 1 species
GAACUGCUGUUUGAGCAUUCCCUGAGAUUGUGUGUAGCCUCCGUGUAAAUGUAAUAGCCUCCAUGGCUUAACUGGCUAUCAAGUGAAUUUUCCCAGAUGAAAGCAAUGUUGGGUUAGGGGACGACGGUGCAGCCACCCAGCCUUUACCAGCAGCGUGCUGCAGACGAAGGCAGUCAAGGUGUGGAGGUGAUCACACAGGUGCAGCUCAGUUGCCAUGAUGCUCCUUGAGUCAAUGAGCUCUUUGGUCUGCUCUUCUGCUCGAGCAGAAAAUGAUCUGUGCUUCACCCUUGAGAAGCUGACAAGAACCACAGGCUUUUUCAGGCAGGUGGUGGAACAUGGGUAUAUCCUUCAGGUGCUCACAGUAUCUCCCUUUGCUCAGGCUCUAGCCUGAUUUUCUGGUUCAUAAGGCCAAAGGGAGCUGGAAAGAUCCCUGCGGCAGGACUCAUGGUGGAGAGAGAAUGGUCUAGAGGAUUCAGGCCUCUGCACACUGUGUCUGGGUCCCUCCUUAAAGAAUGAUAAAGAUGAGUAAAGAGCUUGAAGCAGCCUGGAGUCCAGCCAGAAACCUUUAACUGAGCUUUAAAGGAGAUGGUCACAACACUUUUCAGAAUACUGGCAAAGGCCUCCUGUGGCCCGGUUUGUCCUGGGAUGAGCAAAAUUUAAUAAAGUUAACCUGCUGUAUCUUUGCUUUUAAUAUAUCUGCUUGCCCAUCACAAUGACGUUAUGGUUAAUUUCACCAAUUUGGUAACCUGCCUCAUGGGAAGUACGAAAGUAAGUGAGGGCCAGGCAUGGUGACCCAUGCCUAUAAUCCCAGUACUUUGGGUGGCUGAGGCAGGUGGAUUGCUUGAGCCCAGGAGUUCAAGACCAGCCUGGGCACCAUGACAAAACCCCGUCUCUACAAAAUAUACAAAAAUUAACCGGGUGUGGCAGUGCAUGGCUGUAAUUGCAGCUACUCGGAGGCUGAGGUGGGUGAAUCUCUUGAGCCUGGGAGGCAGAGGUUGCAGUGAGCUGAGAUCGCGCCACUGCAUUCCAGCCUGGGCAAUGAAGCAAGACCCUGUCUCAAAAAAAAAAAAAAAAAAAAGAGAAAGGCAGUGAGGGUGUCCUGUGAAUCAAAUCUUUGAAUGGAUGUUUUCUUAACUAACCAAGACCUGUGUAAGAAUUCUGUCUUUGAUUCCAUAAUAAAGUGGUGUGAAAUUACUAUAAGCAAA